UACAGAGGGUGCGAGCGUUGUUCGGAAUUACUGGGCGUAAGGCGCGCGCAGGCGGCCUUUUAAGUCUCGUGGUGAAAUGCCGGGGCUCAACCCCGUGCCCGCCGGAGAUACUGGGAGGCUGGAGACAUGUAGAGGCAAGCGGAAUUCCGGGUGUAGCGGUGGAAUGCGUAGAGAUCCGGAAGAACACCGGAGGCGAAGGCGGCUUGCUGGGCAUUGUCUGACGCUGAGGCGCGAAAGCGUGGGGAGCGAACAGG
rnacentral:rRNA from 1 species